rnacentral:rRNA from 1 species
GAGGUUAAGCGACUAAGCGUACACGGUGGAUGCCCUGGCAGUCAGAGGCGAUGAAGGGCGUACUAAUCUGCGAUAAGCGCCGGUAAGGUGAUAUGAACCGUUAUAACCGGCGAUACCCGAAUGGGGAAACCCAGUGUGAUUCGUCACACUAUCAUUAACUGAAUCCAUAGGUUAAUGAGGCGAACCGGGGGAACUGAAACAUCUAAGUACCCCGAGGAAAAGAAAUCAACCGAGAUUCCCCCAGUAGCGGCGAGCGAACGGGGAGGAGCCCAGAGCCUGAAUCAGCAUGUGUGUUAGUGGAAGCGUCUGGAAAGGCGCGCGAUACAGGGUGACAGCCCCGUACACAAAAGCGCAUGUGCUGUGAGCUCGAUGAGUAGGGCGGGACACGUGGUAUCCUGUCUGAAUAUGGGGGGACCAUCCUCCAAGGCUAAAUACUCCUGACUGACCGAUAGUGAACCAGUACCGUGAGGGAAAGGCGAAAAGAACCCCGGCGAGGGGAGUGAAAAAGAACCUGAAACCGUGUACGUACAAGCAGUGGGAGCACCCUUUGGGUGUGACUGCGUACCUUUUGUAUAAUGGGUCAGCGACUUAUAUUCUGUAGCAAGGUUAACCGAAUAGGGGAGCCGGAGGGAAACCGAGUCUUAACCGGGCGUUAAGUUGCAGGGUAUAGACCCGAAACCCGGUGAUCUAGCCAUGGGCAGGUUGAAGGUUGGGUAACACUAACUGGAGGACCGAACCGACUAAUGUUGAAAAAUUAGCGGAUGACCUGUGGCUGGGGGUGAAAGGCCAAUCAAACCGGGAGAUAGCUGGUUCUCCCCGAAAGCUAUUUAGGUAGCGCCUCGUGAAUUCAUCUCCGGGGGUAGAGCACUGUUUCGGCUAGGGGGCCAUCCCGGCUUACCAACCCGAUGCAAACUGCGAAUACCGGAGAAUGUUAUCACGGGAGACACACGGCGGGUGCUAACGUCCGUCGUGAAGAGGGAAACAACCCAGACCGCCAGCUAAGGUCCCAAAGUCAUGGUUAAGUGGGAAACGAUGUGGGAAGGCCCAGACAGCCAGGAUGUUGGCUUAGAAGCAGCCAUCAUUUAAAGAAAGCGUAAUAGCUCACUGGUCGAGUCGGCCUGCGCGGAAGAUGUAACGGGGCUAAACCAUGCACCGAAGCUGCG